GUGCUGGUAGCGUAGUGGUUAGCGCUGUUGCCAUUGGCCCAAAAGGUCAUUGGGUCAAAUCCUACCUCCAGCUCU
rnacentral:tRNA from 1 species